UACGUAGGGUGCAAGCGUUGUCCGGAAUUAUUGGGCGUAAAGAGCUCGUAGGCGGCCUGUCGCGUCGGCUGUGAAAACCCGAGGCUCAACCUCGGGCCUGCAGUCGAUACGGGCAGGCUAGAGUUCGGUAGGGGAGUCUGGAAUUCCUGGUGUAGCGGUGAAAUGCGCAGAUAUCAGGAGGAACACCGGUGGCGAAGGCGGGACUCUGGGCCGAUACUGACGCUGAGGAGCGAAAGCGUAGGGAGCGAACAGG
rnacentral:rRNA from 1 species